UACGUAGGGGCCUAGCGUUGUCCGGAAUUAUUGGGCGUAAAGAGCUCGUAGGCGGUUCGGCAAGUCGGAUGUGAAACCUCCAGGCUCAACCUGGAGACGCCACCCGAUACUGUCGUGACUAGAGUCCAGUAGGGGAGCGUGGAAUUCCUGGUGUAGCGGUGAAAUGCGCAGAUAUCAGGAGGAACACCAGCGGCGAAGGCGGCGCUCUGGGCUGGAACUGACGCUGAGGAGCGAAAGCGUGGGGAGCGAACAGG
rnacentral:rRNA from 1 species